AGUAACCCACAGUACGUAUGAAUAACUCAACCUGGUGUCAGAAGUCAGUCUGGAAGAAUAAUACAGUUGCUAACACGGGAGAAGCGAAGAUAAUCGAAAAAAAGAGCGAGAACUUUUUUGUUGUUUGCUGACAGCUUUAAAAAUGGAAGUUUUGCAGUCCCAAUCAACACUUCAGCUGACUGGAAAUGUAGCUGAAAACUGGAAAAGAUUUAAACAGUGUUUUGAAAUUUAUUUAUCGGCGAUCGGAGCAGAUAAUAAAACGGAGAAAAUGAAAGCUGCAAUUCUACUCCAUGUGGUUGGGGACGACGCAGUUGAGGUAUAUAACCAUUUUACUUUUGAAAAUGGGGGUAAUUUGAAUCUAAAAGCAAUAAUGGACACAUUUGACACAUUUUGUAUACCGAAGUGCAAUAUGACAUAUGAACGGUACAAUUUUUUUCAAAUAUCAGCAGAGACCUGGUCAAACGAUUGAUCAAUUUGUUAUGGAGUUGAGAAACUGCAGUAAAAGAUCUAAGUUUGCAAAGCUUACAGACUCUGUCAUUAAAGACAGAAUUGUUUGCGGCAUUCUGGAUAAUGGGCUGAGAGAAAGACUGUUAGAACAAGAUUUGAAUUUGGAAAGAGCUGUGGCACUCUGCAAAGUUUCUGAGACUGUGAUGUCACAGGCUAAAGUGCUUUUUAUCGAGGAUGGCUGUGCAGAUGUUGUAAAGCACGAACAUAUUAGAAAAAAUAAUGCAGCGACAAUGAAACCGACAGAGAGCAAGACGUCAUCUGAAAGAAGAAGACUAUGUAAUCGCUGUGGGCAGCAACAUCAUCUAAAAAAGUGUCCAGCUUAUUGGAAAAUAUGCAACACCUGCGAUUUCCAGUGUCUACGUGUUUUAUUUUUCAUAGGAUCGAGAAGCCUGCCAAAUUAAGAAGAUGGGUGGCACCAACUCAUGCUGGAGAUUCUACACGUAUUGCCAGUCCUCACUGACAGGUUCCAAGGAACUGUCAGCCUUAAUCACACCACUAUUGGAAGGGGAGGUUCACCUGCAAAGUCAUGGCUUUGUGCAACUGCUUUCAGUCUUCAGUUCUCAUGCAGUGAAAUUUUCCAUUUCUUUGUAGCUAGAUGUACACUCAGUGACCACUUUUUUAGGUACUCCUGAACACCUGCUCAUUAAUGCACCUAU